CCCUUAGAUGUUCUGGGCCGCACACGCGCUACACUGAAGGAGGCAGCGUGUACUCCUGGAUCGAAAGAUUUGGGUAACCCGCGAAUCUCCUUCGUGCUAGGGAUUGAGGUUUGCAAUUAUCCUUCAUGAACGAGGAAUUCCCAGUAAGUGCAAGUCAUAAGCUUGCGCUGACUACGUCCCUGCCCUUUGUACACACCGCCCGUCGCUACUACCGAUUGAAUGGUCCGGUGAAGCGUUUGGACUAUGGUUUUCUGACGGUUCGCCAUUGGAUUACCGUGGGAAAUUCGUUAAACCUUAUCAUUUAGAGGAAGGAGAAGUCGUAACA
rnacentral:rRNA from 1 species